GGAGGAUUGGCGGAGCGGUCGAACGCACCUGUUUCGAAAACAGGAGAACCGCAAGGUUCCGGGAGUUCGAAUCUCUCAUCCUCCGC
rnacentral:tRNA from 1 species